rnacentral:rRNA from 1 species
CCUCCCCUCCCCGGGGGGUCGUCAUCGGCCUUCCCCCCCAGGCUUAUUUUUUUUUUUCUUCGGGGCAGCAGUGGGGAAUAUUGCACAAUGGGCGAAAGCCUGAUGCAGCGACGCCGCGUGAGGGAUGACGGCCUUCGGGUUGUAAACCUCUUUCAGCAGGGAAGAAGCGAAAGUGACGGUACCUGCAGAAGAAGCGCCGGCUAACUACGUGCCAGCAGCCGCGGUAAUACGUAGGGCGCAAGCGUUGUCCGGAAUUAUUGGGCGUAAAGAGCUCGUAGGCGGCUUGUCACGUCGAUUGUGAAAGCCCGAGGCUUAACCUCGGGUCUGCAGUCGAUACGGGCUAGCUAGAGUGUGGUAGGGGAGAUCGGAAUUCCUGGUGUAGCGGUGAAAUGCGCAGAUAUCAGGAGGAACACCGGUGGCGAAGGCGGAUCUCUGGGCCAUUACUGACGCUGAGGAGCGAAAGCGUGGGGAGCGAACAGGAUUAGAUACCCUGGUAGUCCACGCCGUAAACGGUGGGAACUAGGUGUUGGCGACAUUCCACGUCGUCGGUGCCGCAGCUAACGCAUUAAGUUCCCCGCCUGGGGAGUACGGCCGCAAGGCUAAAACUCAAAGGAAUUGACGGGGGCCCGCACAAGCGGCGGAGCAUGUGGCUUAAUUCGACGCAACGCGAAGAACCUUACCAAGGCUUGACAUACACCGGAAACGUCUGGAGACAGGCGCCCCCUUGUGGU